UGCCAGCCGCCGCGGUAAGACGAGGGGUGCUAGCGUUGUUCGGAAUCAUUGGGCGUAAAGCGCAUGCAGGCGGUUUGAUCAGUCAGGUGUGAAAGCCCCGGGCUCAACCUGGGAAGUGCACUUGAUACUAUCAAACUUGAAUGUCGGAGAGGUUCGUAGAAUUCCUGGUGUAGUGGUGAAAUACGUAGAUAUCAGGAGGAAUACCGGUGGGGAAGCCGGCGAGCUGGCCGAACAUUGACGCUCAGAUGCGAAAGCGUGGGGAGCAAACAGGAUUAGAUA
rnacentral:rRNA from 1 species